GAUGAACGCUGGCGGCGUGCCUAAUACAUGCAAGUCGAGCGAACAGACGCGGCGCUUGCUCCUCUGACGUUAGCGGCGGACGGGUGAGUCACACGUGGAUCACCUCCCUAUCUGACUGGUAUAUCUUCGGGAAACCGGCGCUAAUCCCGUAUAACCUGUUGAACCGCAUGGUUCAACAGUGAAAUACGGUCUUUCUGUCACUUCUCGCUGGAUCUGCGCCGCAUUAGCUAGUUGGUAAGGUAACGGGUUACUACGGCAACGAUGCGUAGCCGACGUGAGAGGGUGAUAGGCCACAUUGGAGCGGGGACGCGGACCAGGCGACUAAGAGAGGGAGCAGUAGGGAAUCGGCGGCAAUGGGCGGAAGCCUGACGGAGCAACGGGGAGUGAGUGAAGGAGGUCUUCGGAGCGUAAAACUGGGUUAUGAGGGAAGAACAGAUGUGGAAGGAAAUGUGCACGGAGUGACGGUACCGGGUAAGAAAGCAACGGCUAACUACGUG
rnacentral:rRNA from 1 species